rnacentral:rRNA from 1 species
AUUGAACGCUGGCGGCAGGCUUAACACAUGCAAGUCGAGCGGGGUGAUGGUGCUUGCACUAUCACUUAGCGGCGGACGGGUGAGUAAUGCUUAGGAAUCUGCCUAUUAGUGGGGGACAACAUCUCGAAAGGGAUGCUAAUACCGCAUACGUCCUACGGGAGAAAGCAGGGGAUCACUUGUGACCUUGCGCUAAUAGAUGAGCCUAAGUCGGAUUAGCUAGUUGGUGGGGUAAAGGCCUACCAAGGCGACGAUCUGUAGCGGGUCUGAGAGGAUGUUCCGCCACACUGGGACUGAGACACGGCCCAGACUCCUACGGGAGGCAGCAGUGGGGAAUAUUGGACAAUGGGGGGAACCCUGAUCCAGCCAUGCCGCGUGUGUGAAGAAGGCCUUAUGGUUGUAAAGCACUUUAAGCGAGGAGGAGGCUACUGAGACUAAUACUCUUGGAUAGUGGACGUUACUCGCAGAAUAAGCACCGGCUAACUCUGUGCCAGCCGCCGCCGUAA